rnacentral:rRNA from 1 species
UACAGAGGGGGCAAGCGUUGUUCGGAAUUAUUGGGCGUAAAGGGUGCGUAGGCGGUGCGGUAAGUCUUCUGUGAAAUCUCCGGGCUCAACUCGGAGCCUGCAGGAGAAACUGCCGUGCUUGAGUAUGGGAGAGGUGAGUGGAAUUCCUGGUGUAGCGGUGAAAUGCGUAGAUAUCAGGAGGAACACCUGUGGCGAAAGCGGCUCACUGGACCAUAACUGA